CCUACGGGUGGCAGCAGUAGGGAAUUUUUCACAAUGGGCGAAAGCCUGAUGGAGCAACGCCGCGUGCAGGAUGAAGGCCUUCGGGUUGUAAACUGCUUUUAUAAGCGAGAAAUAUGAUGGUAACUUAUGAAUAAGGAUCGGCUAACUACGUGCCAGCAGCCGCGGUCAUACGUAGGAUCCGAGCAUUAUCCGGAGUGACUGGGUGUAAAGAGUUGCGUAGGUGACAUAAUAAGUAGCUAGUGAAAUCUGGUGGCUCAACCAUUCAGACUAUUAGCUAAACUGUUAAGCUCGAGACCGUUAGGGGUAACUGGAAUUUCUAGUGUAGGAGUGAAAUCCGUAGAUAUUAGAAGGAACACCAAUAGCGUAGGCAGGUUGCUGGGACGGUUCUGACACUAAGGCACGAAAGCGUAGGGAGCAAACGGGAUUAGAUACCCCUGUAGUC
rnacentral:rRNA from 1 species